CUGGCCUAGACCCUGGGGAACCAACCUGAAUCCUACAAACGUUGCCUCGGCCCCCAGGAAGCUUGCAAACAGAUACCGAGGAAACAGGGAGAGACUGCAGAGAUGGCAGGAGCCAGAAGAGCCCAUAGGAGGAAGGCCAUCUUGAUGGAGAUGGAGAGGAAGGCAAGCACUCCAGAUGCUAGGAACGGCUUGUGCUGCAGAUCCUCGUGGCUGCAGUGCAGAAAAUGGAUGGAGUCGGGGCAAGACUAGAAGCAGGGACCCCUGAGAGAGGAGCUGGUGGGGCCCCUCCUGAGGUAGAGGCAGUGGACCAACGAAGAUGUUGUCCAGGAGGCAGAGUCCACACGACUUGGUGAUUGAUCAUGGGCCUUUCCCAAAGGAUUCCAGGGCACCAGCUCAGGUCUACUUUCCAGAGAUUGUAAUGAGGAGCAAGCUUCACAAUGAGAAAAUCUUUGGGGACCAACUCUUCCUUUACCCAAAGCCAGCAACAGCGCAAGGCGGGAGGCAGGAUGCAGCUCCCACUCCCUGCACUUGGAAGAAGAAAAGGGCUAAACAUCAUAUUGAAAAUGGCCCAAACAUACAUCCAGUGGACGUGCUAAUUCAAAAAGACACCUGCACCCCAGUGUUCACAGCAGCACUAUUUACAGUAGCCAAGACAUGGAAACAGCCUAAAUGUCCAUCAACAGAUGACUGGAUGAAGAAGAGGUGAUGUAUAUAUACAAUGGAAAAACUACUCAGCCAUAAAAAAGAAUAGAAUAAUGCCAUUUGCAGCAACAUGGAUGGACCUGGAGAUCAUCAUUCUA